UAGGCGUAAAUGAUGCGAGUUAAGUGUGGGGGCGAUCUACGAGAUGGCCCUCGUGCUGUAGGGUAGCCGUUAAACUCGCUGCCUGGGGAGGUACGGUCGCAAGGCUGAAACUUAAAGGAAUUGGCGGGGGGAGGCACCACAAGAGGUGGAGGCUGCGGUUCAAUUGGACUCAACGCCGGAAACUACAUCGGGAGCGACAGCAGUAUGAUUGCCAGGUUGAUGACCUUGCCUGAUUUUCCGUAGAGGAGGUGCAUGGCGUAGUCGUGU
rnacentral:rRNA from 1 species